rnacentral:rRNA from 1 species
GGCACGACACCGGAGAGGGAGCCUGAGAAACGGCUACCACAUCCAAGGGUGGCAGCAGGCGCGCAAAUUACCCAAUCCCGACACGGGGAGGUAGUGACAAUAAAUAACAAUACGGGGUUCUUUCGGAUCUCGUAAUUGGAAUGAGUACAAUUUAAAUCUCUUAACGAGGAACAAUUGGAGGGCAAGUCUGGUGCCAGCAGCCGCGGUAAUUCCAGCUCUAAUAGCGUAUAUUAAAGUUGUUGCAGUUAAAAAGCUCGUAGUUGAAUUUCGGGGUUAGUAGGUUGGUCAUGCCUCUGGUAUGUACUGGUCUCACUGAUUCCUCCUUCCUUAUGAACCGUAAUGCCAUUAAUUUGGUGUUGCGGGGAAUUUGGACUGUUACUUUGAAAAAAUUAGAGUGUUUAAAGCAGGCUAACGCUUGAAUACAUUAGCAUGGAAUAAUGAAAUAGGACGUUCGAUCUUAUUUUGUUGGUUUCUAGGAUUGACGUAAUGAUUAAUAGGGAUAGUUGGGGGCAUUAGUAUUCAAUUGUCAGAGGUGAAAUUCUUGGAUUUAUUGAAGACUAACUACUGCGAAAGCAUUUGCCAGGGAUGUUUUCAUUAAUCAAGAACGAAAGUUAGGGGAUCGAAGACGAUCAGAUACCGUCGUAGUCUUAACCAUAAACUAUGCCGACUAGGGAUCGGAUGAUGUUAAUUUUUUAAUGACUCAUUCGGCGCCUUACGGGAAACCAAA